rnacentral:rRNA from 1 species
UACGGGAGGCAGCAGUGGGGAAUAUUGCACAAUGGGCGAAAGCCUGAUGCAGCUAUGCCGCGUGUAUGAAGAAGGCCUUAGGGUUGUAAAGUACUUUCAUCGGGGAGGAAAAACAAAACUAAUAAUUUUAUUUCUUGACGUUACCCGAAAAAGAAGCACCGGCUAACUCCGUGCCAGCAGCCGCGGUAAUACGGAGGGUGCUAGCGUUAAUCAGAAUUACUGGGCGUAAAGAGCACGUAGGUGGUUUUUUAAGUCAGAUGUGAAAUCCCUGGGCUUAACCUAGGAACUGCAUUUUGAAACUGAAAUACUAGAGUAUCGUAGAGGGAGGUAGAAUUCUAGGUGUAGCGGUGAAAUGCGUAGAUAUCUGGAGGAAUACCUGUGGCGAAAGCGGCCUCCUAAACGAAUACUGACACUGAGGUGCGAAAGCAUGGGGAGCAAACAGGGAUUAGAUACC